ACGGAAGGCAGCAGUGGGGAAUAUUGGGCAAUGGGCGCAAGCCUGACCCAGCAACGCCGCGUGAAGGAUGAAGGUCUUCGGAUUGUAAACUUCUUUGAUCAGGGACGAAUAAAUGACGGUACCUGAAGAACAAGUCACGGCUAACUACGUGCCAGCAGCCGCGGUAAUACGUAGGUGACAAGCGUUAUCCGGAUUUACUGGGUGUAAAGGGCGUGUAGGCGGUUUGGCAAGUCAGAAGUGAAAUUCCCGGGCUUAACUUGGGCGCUGCUUCUGAAACUGCUUUACUUGAGUACUGGAGAGGAUAGUGGAAUUCCUAGUGUAGCGGUAAAAUGCGUAGAUAUUAGGAGGAACACCAGUGGCGAAGGCGGCUUGCUGGACGAUAACUGACGUUGAGGCUCGAGAGCGUGGGGAGCAAACAGGAUUAGAUACCCUGGUA
rnacentral:rRNA from 1 species